CAAAUCCUUAAAAAUCUAAAUUCUAAAAUCCCUAAAUCCCUAGCGACCAGAAGAACGACUGAGCGACUCCGCCAAACACUCCGACGACGUUGCGAAUCUGUGAAUUUGGGAAUGUUGAAGUUGCAUCUUUCAAUAAUUUGAGUUUGGGUGCAAUGACGGAUUGCAUUAGCUAGUUGGAUGAAUGCACAUUGUUGAAAGAGCGAGUUAUCUGGAUUAUAUAUGGCAGGAAAAGACAGAAUUAGUGAACUCCCCGUGGGUAUACUUGACAAUAUUUUGGGACUUUUGCCGAUUCAAGAUGCUGCUAGAACUGCGAUUUUAUCUUCCUCCUGGAAGGAUAUCUGGUUUAGUUUGACAAAGCUCAACUUUGAUUAUGGUUUCUUUGAUUACCUAUGCCUUAAAUAUUCCGGUGCUGAAGGUCUGAAUUCGGAAUCUCCUAUUUUUGAUGUAAUCAACAAAAUUCUCAUGCGGCACAAUGGACCUAUUCACAAAAUUGUCUUCAGUUUCUCUAAAAAAGUAUUGGAAUUCCCUUUCUUUGAAGAAUUUGAAUUCGAGGAUAUAGUUAAUUUGUUGUCGCACAACUUGAAUCUGUGGUUCUUCUUCUCACCCAGAAUGGUGUUGAAGAAAUUGGCAUUUCUUGUUAUCUAGAUAUAGAAGCAAGAUGCAGGGUGCCGAAUUGCAUAUUCUCUUGCCCAACACUGAAGAGGUUGGAACUUUCUAAUGUCUCUGUUGAACUAAUAAAUGCAUAUUGUGUACUUCCGAAUGUUACAUCACUUCGUCUUCAGUAUGUUGACUUUAAGCCUAGAACUUGUUCGGAUUAUGUUGUUUAUCUUCCUAUGCUAGAGGAUCUUUCAUUUUUCGAUUGCGAUAAGAUAUUUUAUUUUAACAUCGUUGCACCAAAACUUGGUAGUUUGAAAAUCCUCCUGCCUGAGUGUUGUGAUUAUUUCGAAGAAUUUGGUCUUUUGCCGCCUAACUUGGACUUCAGAUCUAUAUCAAGUCUUAAUUUGGAAUGUUCCACUUGUUGCUUUGAGGUGUUUAUUGAAGAACUUAAUAGAGUAAACACAGAAAAUGCUUCGCACUUUAAAGUUUACCCAUUUUAAUGGGUUGAGGUCUGAAAUGCAGUGUAUUAAGGCUUUCCUUGCUUGCUUUCCCGGAAUUGAGAAGGUUGUCAUCGUUCAAGGUUGGAUUCCCUCUGAUGAAGAAUUUGAAAUUAUGCAGGAACUUUUACGUUUCCCUCGUGCCUCUACAAAAGCAGAAAUUUGUUACAAAUCUUAAUUUUAUGUUGUUUCCUUAGUACGCAAGUUCUGCAUUGUGUAAUGGUUUGUGAGAUUGCUUAUUAGGUUUGAAUGUACUAUCACAACUGUAGUUGGGUUUAAGGUGAAUUAAUUGUUUGCUCCCGGUAUUAUAUUAAGGGAAAAUACUACUUGUAUUCCCAAAUUCUACUCCCAA